rnacentral:rRNA from 1 species
CAGUCGCCGCGGGAAUACAGAGGGUGCAAGCGUUAAUCGGAAUUACUGGGCGUAAAGCGUGCGUAGGCGGCUAAUUGAGUCGGAUGUGAAAUCCCCGAGCUUAACUUGGGAAUUGCAUUCGAUACUGGUUAGCUAGAGUGUGGGAGAGGAUGGUAGAAUUCCAGGUGUAGCGGUGAAAUGCGUAGAGAUCUGGAGGAAUACCGAUGGCGAAGGCAGCCAUCUGGCCUAACACUGACGCUGAGGUACGAAAGCAUGGGGAGCAAACAGGAUUAGAUACCCCGGUAGUCCCUGUCUCUUAUAC